GAAAUGAUCAUUCUAGAACAGUAUCUUCGCAUGCUUUCUCCUGAACUCCAGGUCUGGGUCCGGGAACGGGACCCUAGGACCGCAGCGGAUGCCGCGUCAUUAGCUGAUGUCUUUGUGGCUGCAAGAAAAAAGAAUCAACCGUGGAGUUGGACAACUGGUAGUGACUCCCGACGGGCCCCGUUCCAUCAGAAACCGGUGCCUGGGGCGGAUCAAGACGGUGACCGUAAACGGGAAAGAACUGAAGGCCCUAGUGGAUACUGGGAGUGACCAGACUCUGGUGAACAGGAAAUUUGUGGCUCCAUCUUUAAUUAGGGCCUAUAAUAAAUUACCCAUCUGCUGCGUACAUGGGGAGGAAAGAAUGG
ensembl:lncRNA